AUGGGCCCUCUUGUGGUAGACCCACAUGUCGUCGGUGUAACUAUUUACACUCCGGAGGAUGGUGCCUAUAUCCUGGUAGUAGUACUAGUAGAAUUGAGAUUUAAUGCACUUUCUUCCCCGUCUUCCACUCUUCUUCCUACUCUCUUCUUCUUCCUCCUCUCUUCCCCAUCGUCAGCCGCACACAAUUUACCCCCGCUCACUGCUCGCCCGCCCGCGCCAUCUUCCUUGGUAGCUCGCGUAGAUUCGUCGACACAACUUGUUGCCAGUUUGAAGCACUCCUCUGGUUUGAAGGAUAGAUACCUUCCUGGGAUCAAGUGCAUCCUAACUCACCCACUACCAUAUAACUGGAAUUACCGAUGCAAGUCGAAGAAGGAUUGGCCGAUGCUGCCGGCUGGCGUCAAGUUUGAUCCCACGGAUCAGGAGCUGAUCGAGCACCUUGAGGCCAAAGUGAGUGUUGACAGUAUCACACUGAGUGGCCUAAGGAAGCAUUUCUUCCAGCGCAAUUCCAAGGCGUUCAAAAGGGGCACGUGGACGCAUCCCAAGAUACAGUCGGAGUGCGGCACGCACGUGAUGUGGCACAAGACCGGCAAUACCUUGCCUGUGAUGAACUUCGACCAGCAGAGGACCAACUGGGUGAUGCACCAGUACCACAUCGGGGACCUGGAGCAAGAGAAGGAGCGGGAGCUGGUCCUUUGCAAGAUUUUCUACCAGAAGAACACUAGGGCCAGGAGUAGUUUGGUAUUGGUAGUUGUACUACCUUGUCGUCCGCAAGUUGGUAUUGUUGUUAACGAUCUUUUGACCAAGCCCAUGACGACAACGGGGCACAAAGAUCCAGCAGGUAUCUACUGGCCUCUGGCCCGCCAGCAUUAG
rnacentral:rRNA from 1 species